UCCCUUGUAGCUCAGUUGGCAGAGCAAGUGGCUGUUAACCACUGGGUCGCUGGUUCAAGUCCGGCCGAGGGAG
rnacentral:tRNA from 1 species